rnacentral:rRNA from 1 species
CACGUAGGGCGCAAGCGUUGUCCGGAAUUAUUGGGCGUAAAGAGCUCGUAGGCGGACUGUCACGUCUGCUGUGAAAAGCUGGGGCUUAACCCUGGCCUUGCAGUGGAUACGGGCAGACUAGAGGUAGGUAGGGGAGACUGGAAUUCCUGGUGUAGCGGUGAAAUGCGCAGAUAUCAGGAGGAACACCGGUGGCGAAGGCGGGUCUCUGGGCCGUAACUGACGCUGAGGAGCGAAAGCAUGGGGAGCGAACAGG